rnacentral:rRNA from 1 species
GACCUGGCUCAGGACGAACGCUGGCGGCACGCUUAACACAUGCAAGUCGAACGAGAGAAGAGAAGCUUGCUUUUCUGAUCUAGUGGCGGACGGGUGAGUAACACGUGAGCAAUCUGCCUUUCAGAGGGGGAUACCGAUUGGAAACGAUCGUUAAUACCGCAUAACAUAAUUGAACCGCAUGAUUUGAUUAUCAAAGAUUUAUCGCUGAAAGAUGAGCUCGCGUCUGAUUAG